AACACAACUUUGGACGAAUUUAGUGUUUUGACUUAAAUCAAAACACUCUAAAACACAAACAAAACAUAUUUUAAACACUUUGGAACAAGAAAGUAAAAUGGGGGUUUUGAUUUGGAUGAAUUUGAAAUAAACAAGCAAGUUAUAAAACUAGGCAGAUUAUAAAAUGAAUUUGAGAAAUAAAAUGAUGGAGGGAUUAGUUAG
rnacentral:lncRNA from 1 species